GGAAAACUACUUCCUGGUUUCUCUGUACAGUGUGAAAUAGUUUAUGUGCCUGGCCCUUUAAAUGACCCCAUGCUCUUUAGUGACAGUUGGCUUUUGGACUUCUGGGAACUGGAGAGGGUCUAAAAGCCAACAGAAACUGAGCGAGACAGUAGGAGAGUUAGAUACAGGAGUUGGAGAGAGUCGUCACGUGACAGUUGGCUCUUGGAAUCUGGAAACAAGAGAGAAUAUAAAAUCCAGCAGAGGCUGAAAGAGAAGAGAGAGCAAGGAGAGUCGUAGUAGGAUUGGGGAGCAGGCAGAAGUGUAGGGUUCAGGACACGGGGGGGGGGUCAGAGAAGAUUGUGUAGGGUUGGAAAGAAGAGAAGGAAAGAGAAGAGAAGAAAAAAGGAAGAAAGGGGGGAAAGGGAAGGAAAGGAAAGGAUGCUCUUAGCCUUGCUGGUGAAGAGAAGGACAGAGAUCCCAAGUUGAGGGGGCACAAGUGGAUCCACCCUCUGAUCCCAGCCAGGCUCCUCCCUCAUCUGGAGGACUUGAAGGUGAUGCUGCAGCUCUCCUGGGUUGUUUUCCUGGAUGGCCGGCUCCUGCUUCACGUAUUUAAGCAUUUCUUCCCUUGUUUCCAUGAACUGUUCAUUGGAAGAUUGGUGUUCUUGGUGGAGGGCUGUACAGACCUUCAUACAAGAGCAAGCAGGUACAGAGCAUCCCAAGAGCCUGCUACUCGGCCAGGUGGAGAAAUAAAAACCCUGUUUAAAGACAGACUAAGAAAGCAAAUGAUCUCCGCUAGCUACCGCACACAGGCAUAAUGCACCGUACUGCCCAGAGGCUUC
rnacentral:lncRNA from 1 species